AUCUCUUUUUUCCUUUUUCUUGUCGCCCAAAUAGAUCAAGGAAGAAGGGGACGUCCAACCCACAUAUCAUGCAUCUUGUCUCUCCUCUUCUCCUCCCUUCUUGAAAGGUUUUUGAAAUCUUUUUUUUACUAAUUUUUGGGCAUCAAAAAGAGACUUCUCUACUGGUUAUACAGUAAAAAAUUGAAGAAGAAAAGUAAAUUCCAAGGAGAGAA
rnacentral:lncRNA from 1 species